rnacentral:rRNA from 1 species
CUCAGGACGAACGCUGGCGGCGUGCUUAACACAUGCAAGUCGAACGAUGAACCACUUCGGUGGGGAUUAGUGGCGAACGGGUGAGUAACACGUGGGCAAUCUGCCCUUCACUCUGGGACAAGCCCUGGAAACGGGGUCUAAUACCGGAUAACACUCCCGCUCUCAUGGGCGGGGGUUGAAAGCUCCGGCGGUGAAGGAUGAGCCCGCGGCCUAUCAGCUUGUUGGUGAGGUAAUGGCUCACCAAGGCGACGACGGGUAGCCGGCCUGAGAGGGCGACCGGCCACACUGGGACUGAGACACGGCCCAGACUCCUACGGGAGGCAGCAGUGGGGAAUAUUGCACAAUGGGCGAAAGCCUGAUGCAGCGACGCCGCGUGAGGGAUGACGGCCUUCGGGUUGUAAACCUCUUUCAGCAG